rnacentral:rRNA from 1 species
AGCUUACUCCUUGCGUGCAGCCGCGGUAAGACUGAUGUGUGACGUGUUGUCCUGAUGUAUUGGGCGUACAGCGAUCGCAUGCGGUUCCUUCAGUCUGAUGUGAAAGCUCACGGCGCAACCUGGGAAGGUCAUUGGAAACUGGGGAACUUGAGUGCAGAAGGGGAGAGUGGUAUUCCAUGUGUAGCGGUGCAAGGCGUAGAUAUCUGGAGGAACACCGGUGGCGAAGGCGGCCCCCUGGACAAAGACUGACGCUCAGGUGCGAAAGCGUGGGGAGCAAACAGGAUUAGAUACCUGGUAGUC